rnacentral:sRNA from 1 species
GCUCAUUUACCCAUGGAUCCUAAAGUUGGAAAGAUUUUGAUUGUUGGUUGCGUUUUGCAGUGUAUAGAACCAGCAUUGAUAAUUGCAUCAACAUUAUCAAGCUCCAAAAGCUGUUGGUUACAGUAUUUGCCAGGUCAUCCAAACAGUAGAGAUAAGGCACACCAACUACAUGAAGACUUGAUCCGCACUGGCUUUGGUGGUGAAAAUUGGCCUCAUGGUGG